AGACGCUGCGGCUGCACGUUAUUCGCGAAUUCUAAAGUUCAAACGCCCAUUGACGCCUAAACUAUAAACUAACUACUAGGGAUGGUCGCUAUUUAACGUAACCGCUAAAAUAACAGUGUUCCAGACGUGCAACCUGAGACCGCAGUUCCACUUGAUUGUGUUUAUCAUUUUUCGUCUAUAAGAAUUACUGUUCAGUUCUUCCCGAACCAUAAUCGGCCAGAUCAGCGGAAUAUUGUUCAGUUUCGGUGAUGAUAUAAUUUAGCAUUUUUAGUCUAAGUAUUACUGUUAAUUUGGACUAUUUAAUGUAAUUGUUGACUUAGUACCAGGGAAAAAUAAUUCAAAAGCUACUGCAAAAACUGUGGUGUCCAAUCAAUCAGAGGAAGUUCAGUUAAAAUAUAGGCAAGAAGAAGAUUAUUCAAUAUUUCAAGAUUUUUACAAACUUGUUUUAUAACAAAAAAACACAGGUAUGGUACUACUUUUGUUCCAUGCGAGAGAUUAUUUUCCAAAGUGGGUGCUAUCAUAAACGAGCGGAGAAAUAGACUUAGUAAAAAGCACGUGCAAAAAAUUAUUCUUAAAUAUUAAUUCAUUUUUAAAUGAAAAUGAACUUUUUAAACAUUUUCGCAUGCAAAGCGUAUAUUCUACUUAAAUCAUUCAAUUUUAGUAUCAGUUUUGUUUUUCUUUAAUUAGUUACUUAUGACCCAUCUUUUGUUUUUAGAAUAUACUAGUUUUAGUUUACCAAUACUAAGAAUUAUUUUUUUAUUAAGUAAAUCAUUAUUUACUAUCAUCAUAAUUGCGAGUUUUUAAUGAAGAAUUUGAAUGAAUGAAGAAUUUGGAACAUGUUACUUUUGGAACCGCAUUUUAAAACCUAAUUCCAAAGUGAAACUGCAACGUUGGAACAUAUUGGAACCUAUUGGAAAAUAACCGUUCAACACUCCUCUAUAAACCGAAAAACACUGUUAUAAAACAGGUAAACGGUGCGUUCCAGAAACAAAGGAUAACUUCUUAAUUAUUACUUGUCUGAUGCGUUCUCUCAAGAAUUGGCAAGAGAAGCUUGUUCUACUGCCGUUGCGUGAUGGGAUCAGUCGAUUGCGUUCGAGAAUACAAACCACAACAGAGGCGACAAAACUCCUACCUGCGGACACCCGCCGGCAACCCGCGCCUCCACGCUGACUUCAUCGAGUGCGACGGUAGCUGUUCUGCAGCUCAGCAUGUUUUGGAUCCAUUCACAUAUUGAAGGCUCCACUUCACGAUUUUUCACCGCUCUGACUAUUGACUGAAAAGAAGUUUUGUCAAAGGCUCCCUUUAUGUCCAGAAAAGCCGCCAAAGCAAUUUAUUUGCACCCUAGUAAGGUUUCUGCCCUCAGCACCAGUUUAUAGAUAGCAGAUUCGCAGAAUUUAUCCGUGUGAUAGGCAUAUUGGUUGUGGUGUAGAGGUUUUUUGGUAACAACAUAUUUCCUGAUAUGCCUGUCGAUCAGCUUCUAUAUUGUUUUAAGUAAGAACGAUGUUAGGCUAAUCGGGCGAAAGGAUUUGGCCUGAACAUACGUCGCACGCCCUGGUUUUGGAAUAAAUACUACUUUCGCCAUUCUCCAUUCCAUUGGUAUGAAUACCAAGGCAAGGCUGAGACAUAGAAAAAUAAAUGAUCUUUUAAAAGACGAACUGCAAGGAGGAGUUCAUGCCCUUUCCAUUGUGGCAAAAACUCCUGAUCAGUGGACAAAUGAUGAAAUUGAGCCAAGUCCCAGUUGUCGAGGGGGUUUUGGAAAGUAAACAUACAAACAUACA